rnacentral:tRNA from 1 species
GGUUGCAUAGUGUAGCGGUGAGCACAUCUGCUUUACAUGCAGAAGGUCCUGGGUCUGCGCCCCUGUGGAGCCA